rnacentral:lncRNA from 1 species
CAGAUUUAGACAAGAGCUACAUUGAUAGUGAUUGGGCCGAAUCAUGUGAUGAUAUGAAGAGCACAUCAGGGUGUGUAUUCUAUCUGGGAUCAAGUCCUAUCUGUAAGAACUCAAUGAAGCAGAAAAUCGUGGCUCAAUCAAAAGCUGAAGCACAAUAUGUGGCUGCAUUUGAGGCUAUACAAACCAGGCAAUCUAGUUAAGGAAAGUCUUGGAGGAUCUAAACCAUAAGUAAUCUGAUACAACAAUGAUCCAUUACGACAGCCAAUCUGCUGUGGCUAUGGUUAAAAACCCAGUGUUCCAUGGAAGGACAAAACAUAUCAAGAUAAGGUAUCAUGCAAUCAGAGAAGCACAGGAGAACCUUGAAGUGAAGCUGGUGCAUUGCAAUUCUGAGGCCCAAUUUACAAACAUCCUAACAAAAUGUUUGUCUAAAGAAAGGUUCGAAACAUUAAGGAAAUGCCUUAGUGUUUCCAGCACAAGUGUCAAGGAAGAGUGUUAACACUGCUUGAUACUUUUGCUGUCACCAAUUGUAGUUUUUUGUAUAUUAAAAUCAGCCUAUGUAAUGUUUAUUUUUAAUGAUUAUAAUGUCUAUCAAUGUAUGGUUUAUUCUGUUACUAAGUAAGGCUGUAGUUGUCUGAAUGUUAUCACACCCUAU